AAAAAAAAAAAAAAAAAAAAAAAAAAAAAAAAAAAAAAAAAAAAAAAAAAAAAAAAAAAAAAAAAAAAAAAAAAAAAAAAAAAAAAAAAAAAAAAAAAAAAAAAAAAAAAAAAAAAAAAAAAAGCAAAUACUAAUAUACAAUAUUUGUAAGAAAUGAAGUAAACUACAAAUUCUAAUAUUUUUAGGAUCUUAUAUCCGAGCCGAUCCGUUAUAUAUAUUUACAUAUAUUUUAAUUUUUUGAGAUCAAACAAUCUUCUAUAACUC
rnacentral:lncRNA from 1 species